rnacentral:lncRNA from 1 species
AGAAUGGAGAAUUGUGUGUCACAGAAUCCUAGUAAGUUUUGGAUUUUUGCCUGUCAGGGAGGCAGCAGAUGGCUGAAAUCCUGGCGUGACGUGGCUGGAUCUUGCACGAUCUGAGGACCCCUGCACUGAUGACUGGGACAGGUCCAGAUCUUUCCUAUAAAUAUAUUAAGAUUCGGAUCAGUCCUGAGCAGCAGUUAGGCCAACGCCACCCCUCGCUGCCCUGGCGCCGUCUCUCACCGACCUCAGCAGGUACGUGUCAGGAUGGAAAUGAGGCUCCAUCCCUAGCCCUCCCCAGAGGACACAGAGCAGCCUCCCUUUCAGAAAUGGGCUUCCAGGGCUGGAGAAACGAUCCAUCACACUCCCCUGAUAAUGUGGCCCUGAGGAGUAGUCACUCAGCAACCCCUCUGGUUGAUGAAGAUGACAGAGGAGAUGAAAUCCCACCCUUUGCACCAAGAGACAGGUGUCGGGCCACAUCUGUCAGCUGACCCCUGAAGCGGAGAGUGGGGCUCAGCAGAAGACAUUGUUUUCACCAUAUACUUAAUAUUCAGUGAUUCCCUUGUAUCUUUCAGAUGGGUGUGGAAAUAUGCAGUAGUUGCAUCUUUCUGGCAAUUUGACGUUGUCAUGUAAAUUUUUCCCUGGUGACCAUGGCUUUUUUCCUCUUGUAAGUGCAUUUUAUUCUAAAGACAGGAAACUUCCAAGUGUUAUUUUAAAGUCGGUUACUAGAACUUAACAUUUUAAAAAAUAUUUAUUACCUUAGAGUUUGCUCUAUAUAAUGAUAUUCAGGCACAUGACCCAAAAUCACCGGGAUUAUUUUCUUAAGACAUAAUAAUUUUAUUUCUUUACUUCAGAGGGAAAUGGAUGUCAGCUUUCCCUAGAUAUUUGGAUUUAUUGCAUCGCCAAUGAUUAUUUCUAUUUUGGUUAUAUGUAGUGUGGACCAAUUCGAUAAGACAUAGUGUGGACCUGUUAACACUACAAGAGCAUAAUCAUGGGACUCUUUCACCUGAUUAAUUGCAUCAGAGAAGUAUGAAUAUAUAAGUAUAUCUCAAAUAUUUAUUGAGGUUUGGAUGACAUACGAUACACUGUGCAUAUUUAAAGCAUAUGCUCUAACAAGCUGUGAUAUAUAUAUGCACCGUGGAUCCAAUACUACAGUCAACAUAGUGAACAUAUCCAUCUCCUCAAAAAGCUUCCUGGUGCCCCUUUGUAAUCCCCCCACCUCUCUCUCUCUCCGUGUCACCCUACCCCAUUCCCAGGCAACCACUGAUUUUCUGUCACUGUAGAUUAGUUCUCUUUUCAUGUAAUUCUAUGUGAAUUGAAUCAUGCAAUGUGUAUUCUUUUUUGUCUGUGUUCUUUCCUUCAACCUAAAUAUUUCUAGAAUUAUCCAUUUGUUGCAUGUACAAAUAGUUCCUUCUUUUCUGUGGUUGACUAAUAUUCCAUUACCGUCACGUGUCGCUCAACGACAGGGAUACGUUCUGAGAAAUGCAUUGUUGGGGGGAUGUCGUCAUUGUGCGAACAUCCUAGAGUGUACUUACACAGACCUAGAUAGUAUGGCCUACUGCACACCUAGGCUAUGUGGUAUUAAUCUUAUGGACCACUGCUGUAUAUGUGGUCCAUUGUCAACCAAAAUGUCGUUAUUGUGGUGCCUGACUGUGAAUGGAUAUACCACAGUUUGAUCCAUCCAGUCACCUGGUAAUGAAUAUUUGUGUUGUUUCCAAAUUGAGGCUCUUGUAAAUAAAGCUGCUGAGGACACUUGGGUAUAAGUCUUU